UCACUUUAUGAAAAUCCCUCCGAAGUCAGAAUUCAUUGUAUACGUAAUUCAAUAAGUUUUUGCUUUUCAGUUUUUUUUUAUGUUAAUGUCUUUCCUUUAACCCUGUCACUAUGUAUUUUCAAUUGGUAGGAACUAUAGUUGCAUUAAUUGUCUAUUUUAGCACAUCUUGUUGGCUCCUCACAAUAGUUGCCCACAUUUGUGACAUAAAUUUGCUACCAAAGAGAAGUCCUUGAACAUGUCAAUGCUUCAAUCAUCUGGGGCAUUGUAGGACCUCUUUGAGUGUUCAUGAAAGAAGGUAUCUACUCGAAACACAACUGGUUCUUCCUAAUAGGCCUACUUGCCCCAGUUCUCGAAUGACUCCUAUCAUGAAAGAAGUGGAUUAAGAACAUCCUGAUGCAAACUCUUUACAUAUUUCCAACGACACUGUUUAGCUAAUGAUUACAUAAUACGACAGCCAUGCUAACGUUUCCUGCCUGCAUUUCUCAAUACUUGCAUUCUCCCUCCUUUUGUGUCAAUUCACCUUAUUCCUCUUGUGCAGUUUGCAUCAGGAUGUUCUUGAUCCACUUCUUUUUAGGGUAUUUUCGUGAUAGAAGCCAUUCAAGAACUGGGGCAAAUAGGCCUAUUAGGAAGAACCAGUUGAGUUCCGGGUAGACAUCUUCUUUCGUGAACAUUCGGAGAGGUCCUACAAUGCCUCAAAUGAUUGAAGCAUUGUAGAAAACAUCGUCUCUAGGACAUGUCCAAAGACUUCCCGCUAACAAUAAAUUUGUGUCAUAAAUGUAGGGAACUAUUAUGAGGAGCCACGAGGAUGUGCGAAAGUAGACAGUUGAAGCAACUAUAGUUCCUACCAACUAAAAAUACAUAGUGACAGGGUUAAAAGAAAGACAUUAGCAUAAAAAAAACUGAAAAACAAAAACUUAUUGAAUUACCUAUACAAUAAACAUUGAUUUCAGAGGGAUUUUCAUAUAGUGACCUAAUUUGAAGUCUUCGAUGAUACGAGAACUUGAGACAUACUGAUAAAGACAUAGGUCUUAAAGGAUUUGGUAAACAGUUUCAGCUUCCAUGGUGGGGACUCGUACUUUCCUGUUUUAUAGCACUCUUCUUUACAUUACUUGUUGGGGUGAUUGUAGCAACCACAAACAUGUUGGUAGGAACUACAGUUGUGUUAACUCUCUACUUUGGCACAUCCUGGUGGAUGCUCACAACAGUUCUCCACAUUUGUCACACAAAUUUGCUACCAGAGGGGAGUCCCUGGACAUGUCCUAGAGACGAUGUUUUCUACAAUGCUUCAAUCAUCUAAGGCAUUAUAGGAUCUCUUCGAAUGUUCACGAAAGCGGGCAUCUAUUUGAAACUCAACUAGUUCUUCCUAGUAGGCCUACUUGCCCCAGUCCUUGGAUGGCUCCUGUCAUGAAAAUACCCUAAAAAGAAGUGGAUCAAGAGCAUCAUGCUAUAUAGAUGAAGUCAUUGGCAAUUUCAAAGAUGUCAACAUUUGAUGUUGGGAAGGUUUUCUCUAAAAUAGGAUGUGAUUAUUGAUUUGUUUGGUUCUUGUUGAUCAUAAUUCUAAUAAAAUUAAGAGGGUAAAUAGCAUCUCAUUCAAGAACUUUAAAAACUAUUUAUACUUUUCUAAAAUUUAGGGUUGAUAUUUAAGUUGAAAGACUAUUUUUCAUCUGGAGUUGACAAAUUCUCAUCUUUUAAGUAAUAGACUUAAAUUGAGUCAAUUUGGCUUGAUUGUAGCUAAAUUCAAAUUGAAAUUUUAAUUUGAUAAUUCAAUUUGUGUUUAA